UUGACGGGAACCCGCACAAGCGGUGGAGUAUGUUGUUAAUUCGAAGAUACACGAAGAACCUUACCAGGUCUUGACAUACCAUUGACAGGUGUAGAGAUACACCCUCCUUCGGGCAAUGGAUACAGGUGGUGCAUGGUUGUCGUCAGCUCGUGCCGUGAGGUGUUGGGUUAAGUCCCGCAACGAGCGCAACCCUCGACCUUAGUUGCCAGCAUUCAGUUGGGCACUCUAAGGUGACUGCCGGCUAAAAGUCGGAGGAAGGUGGGAUGACGUCAAAUCAUCAUGCCCCUUAUGACCUGGGCUACACACGUGCUACAAUGGGCGGUACAAAGGGUCGCGAACCCGCGAGGGGGAGCCAAUCCCAAGAAGCCGCUCUCAGUUCGGAUUGCAGGCUGCAACUCGCCUGCAUGAAGCCGGAAUCGCUAGUAAUCGCGGAUCAGCAUGCCGCGGUGAAUACGUUCCCGGGCCUU
rnacentral:rRNA from 1 species